CCUCCCCAGCCCUGUCCUGCAGUCUCAGGUUCCUGGGGAUUCCCAGAGACCAGGAAGUCGGCUGCUCCUCUCUGUGUUCUCGUCCUGGCCCAGUGCAUGUAGGGCUGUGGUAUUGCUCCUCGCCACUGCCUGAAGGCUCAGCUCAAGAGAACCCUCCCCAGGCCCUCCAGCCAGUUGCUGUGCUCUCUGCUCCCAUGGCACUUUGGGUCCCUCUGUGUCACACUGAGCAUGUUAGGGUGAAAGGAGCUGUUCCUGGGGUUCCACGGGAACCAUGUAAGCUCUUGGGGAGCCGAGACUGUGCCUCACUUUCCUAUCCCGUGACCAGCUCCGUGCCGGCUCACAGCAUGAACUCAGCCAGUGUGAAGCCGAAUCCGCGGGCUCUGAGAGGGCUUUCACCUAAUCCAGGCCACACUCAUAUCCAGCCUGGACCACAGCAAUGCAUCUACUCUUCUCCAUCAGUCAGUUCUCCCCACGGGAAGCAAAGUGACCUUUUCCAAAUGAAAAUCUGAUUGUGGCAUCCCCCUGCUUAAGUCAGAACUCUACCCAUUAUUCUUGGAAUAAAAACCAGAAAGCUC